UUGCACCAUUUUAUUUAGUAUGCAACGUGAUCUCAUGACUCGUGUAAAUAUACACAUCACUUUUAAUUGGCGUGUUAUCUUUAUGCAUUAUAAGCUUUCCGCAUGUACUGUAUGUU